UAGGGACCACAAUGGCACAUAAAACUGUGUCCUGGGUGCCCAUUUAAGCCCUUCUGGUAUCAUUUUCCUGAAUUCUUCAGAAAAUAUGCCUUCUAUAUAUAUUAGCUAACAUUUCCUGAGCAUCUACAAUAAGCCUUUUCCAUAUAUCACUGCAUUGAAUCCUUACAACUCUAAGCUUUCUAAUUCAACCAGCUUUGGGGCAGCAAAACAUAAAUUUCCACUUCUGGAAUGGGAGACACCUCCAGUGAAAGUUACCUUAAGGUCCAGAAGAAGCCAGGCAGAGAAAUCACAUGUCUCAGCUUUUCCACUGCAAAAUUUCUAUUUUAUACUUGAAGAAUGUGAUUCUAAUCAAGUACAAGUUAAUCUGCACCUGAACAUCUUCAGGUCCAUUAAUAUAAAAUCACUAACUUUUUCAAAUCAAAGGUUUCAAGAAAUUAGAUUUACCUGGUUCUUUAGCCUUCAAAGUCUGAGUCAAAUAACUCUUACACAGACUUUGCUGCUUAAAAUCCUUCACUUCUUCUCUAGGCCUGUGUAGACUGCAAAUAUUUCCAUUACAGUUGCUUAUGGGACUCGUACCCCAGUUGUAUCUUAGUCUAUGACACGCGCUAUAAUUUAAAAAUCAUAGAAUUACCUUUAUUUUAAAAUAUCCCCCCCCCCUUUUUUUUUUUUUUUUUGAAACAGGGUCUUGCUCUAUCACCCAGGCUGGAGUGCAGUGGCGCGAUCUCAGCUCACUGCAACUUCUGCCUCCAGGUUCAAGCGAUUCUCGUGCCUUGGCCUCCCAAGUAGCUGGGAUUACAGAUGCGCACCACCACACCCAGCUAAUUUUUGUAUUUUUAGUAGAGAAGGGGUUUUGCCAUGUUGGCCAGGCUGGUUUCGAACUCCUGACCUCAAGUGAUCCACCCACCUUGGCCUCCCGAAGUGCUGGGAUUACAGGCCUCGUGAGUCGCUGUGCCAGGCCUAAUUUUAAAUAUUCUGUGCAUCAGAUAUUUCACUAAACCAGACUGCCCCUCCUCCUACUCAUUCUCAUCUCAUCUCAUUAUUCCAAAUGUUAGAGGUUUGACUAUAUGUUACAAACACACACCUGCAAAUGGAGUCAAUGCCUGUGGACUAACAGAACCCAUAUUCAAAGCCUGAGAAUCAGCUAUGGGAAAGCCAUCUGAGAGAUAAAUUAUACUUGAAGGACAGCAACUCUAUCCCUGAGUUAGCUAACGCUCAGCAGAAGUCUGGCCCACUGGGACCUGAGCAAUUUGGUACGUAGAUCUGAGUAUAAUAAGGUUUGGGAGCUUGCAGGAAUUUCAAGAGUACACAAAGAAGGCAUCAACACCACUACCUGAGCAUCCACGCCUAAGUAAAAAGUGUUUGCUCCAUGUGCCACCCUCUUCAAAAAAACAAACAUAUGAAUACUCAUAUUUAUGUAAACCAUAAGCAUACAAUGAUUAUAUAUUUAAAUCCAUGAAGAUGGGUAUUUAUAAAGAAAAAUGACCACAAAGUCAUCAAAUUAAAAUUCUGUUGGCAAAAAGGGAUAGGAUGAAACUUUCCUUAAAUAUCACAACACCGGUCCGGCUGAGCAUCAACGAAUAGGAGGAAAUCAGCUGCCUCCAGGCCAACAACAAUGGGACACAGACCUCACCUCACUUCUAGGGAAGAGCCACCACUAAGACCAGAGAACCCCAGAAGCCACCAAGUGGAGAACCCCAGGCUUUAGAGAACCCCACAAGCCACCAUGUGGAGAAGCCCAGGCUAACCUGCUGGAUGAUGAGACUCACAAAGCCCAGGCAUCCCUGUAGCCCUGGCCAACCGUCAUAUAUGUGAGUGAGACUAUCCAUCUGACGGGAUGUUCAUGAGUGAGCUCAGAGGAGAAGAGAACCAUCACAUAGCUGAGCCCAGCUUAAAUUGACAAACCACAAAAUGGUGAACUAAAUAAAUGCCUGUUGUU